CUGGAGUACUCGAGUGGCGAACGGGUGAGUAACACGUGGGUAAUCUGCCCUGCACCCUGGGAUAAGCCUGGGAAACUGGGUCUAAUACUGGAUAUGACCUUUCUCCUUAUGGGGUUUGGUGGAAAGUUUUUCGGUGUAGGAUGAGCCCGCGGCCUAUCAGCUUGUUGGUGGGGUGAUGGCCUACCAAGGCGACGACGGGUAGCCGGCCUGAGAGGGUGAUCGGCCACAUUGGGACUGAGAUACGGCCCAG
rnacentral:rRNA from 1 species